rnacentral:rRNA from 1 species
UACGUAGGGUGCAAGCGUUGUCCGGAAUUAUUGGGCGUAAAGAGCUCGUAGGCGGUUCGUCGCGUCGGCUGUGAAAACCCGGAGCUCAACUCCGGGCCUGCAGUCGAUACGGGCGGACUUGAGUUCGGCAGGGGAGACUGGAAUUCCUGGUGUAGCGGUGAAAUGCGCAGAUACCAGGAGGAACACCGGUGGCGAAGGCGGGUCUCUGGGCCGAUACUGACGCUGAGGAGCGAAAGCGUGGGGAGGCGAACAGG